rnacentral:lncRNA from 1 species
CGAUAAGAAGAUAAUUUGUAUUGUUUGCCAACCGCUAAAAAAAGAAGCUGUUGUUUGCCGUGUCGCAUUCUACACAUUUUCAGUCCAAGCCUGGUGCAGGGCAGUUCUCCCGGGUUAAGGGGUCCCUGCUGCAGUUUCACCAGUAAAGAAAAUUACUUGUUACAGUUCACUUGAAGGACCACAUAAGCCAUGCAGUGGUGCAUGGAGGUAUGGAGCGCCAAGAGGACAUAAAGUGGAAGUUUGUAAGGGACAUUGGUCCAGCGUGGUACAGAGUCAUCGUGGGUUAUUCUGUGGGGAGGUGACAGGGCCUGCCGUUCUCCAGAUGGACAGUAAAAAUCAACAGAAUGCCAUCAAAGACUACCUGGAGGGAGAAUCAGAGGAUAUAUUAAAGCAAGGAAUCUCUCUGUGUAGUCUAUGUAUGUAUGUGUGUGUACUGCAUGUCAAGAACUGUUUAUCUGAUCAUUCAGCUGCUCAGACUUUAUAAUAUUUGGAGCAUACCUUUUGUUAAACACAACCAGUCAAGAGCAAAAACAGUCCAAUUUUAAAAUAUUUGUAUAAUAUUUUGCUUUUGUAAUAUAUUUUGCUAUUUAAAAUAACAAUUUUCUAUAUUUCUAUUAAAAUGAAAUUUAUUCCUGUGAUUUCAAAGGUGACUUACUCCAGUCACAUGAUCCUUCAUUCUAAUAUGCUGAUUUGAUGCUCAAAAAACGUUUUUUUAUAUUAUUAUUAUGUUAAUACACUGAAGACUGGAGUAAUGAUGAAGAAAAUUCAGCUUUGAUCACAGGAAUAAACUGCAUUUUAAAAUACAUUCAAAUAGAAAGCAGUUCUUUUAAAUUGUAAAAAUAUUUCACAUUACUGUUUUUGCUGUGUUUUGGAUCAAAUAAAUGCUGGCUUGGUGAGCAGAAGAGACUUUAAAAAAUAAUAAAAAUCUUACUGUUCAAAAACUGGUGGUAUAUAUUAUCAUUAUUAUUAUAUUUUUUUUUUUUUGUAAAAUUGUACAUGUAAUUAUUUUUGUAAAAUAAUAAAUAUAAAAAUACCCAAUGAAACAAUUGAUGCCUUUUUCAUUCAUCUUUAAGUAUGUGGAGGACCUGGACAUGUUUCAUAUCAAGUUGUGAUGAACAAGGCCUGAAGGUCAAUGUCAUGUAACUUAUAUAAUCUAUCAAUGCAAUCUUUAUUCAGCCUAAGUAUGUGUAGCCUACUGCAUAUGGGGAACUGUUGAUUCUAUCAUUCAAAUGUUAACACGUAAAAUAAUA